GCUUAUGCGUUGUUGGGUAGGGGAGCGUUCUGUAAGCCUGUGAAGGUGGCCUGUGAGGGUUGCUGGAGGUAUCAGAAGUGCGAAUGCUGACAUAAGUAACGAUAAAGCGGGUGAAAAGCCCGCUCGCCGGAAGACCAAGGGUUCCUGUCCAACGUUAAUCGGGGCAGGGUGAGUCGACCCCUAAGGCGAGGCCGAAAGGCGUAGUCGAUGGGAAACGGGUUAAUAUUCCCGUACUUGGUGUUACUGCGAAGGGGGGACGGAGAAGGCUAUGUUGGCCGGGCGACGGUUGUCCCGGUUUAAGCGUGUAGGUGUGUGUUCCAGGUAAAUCCGGUUCACUUUAACACUGAGGCGUGAUGACGAGGCACUACGGUGCUGAAGCAACAAAUGCCCUGCUUCCAGGAAAAGCCUCUAAGCAUCAGGUAACAUCAAAUCGUACCCCAAACCGACACAGGUGGUCAGGUAGAGAAUACCAAGGCGCUUGAGAGAACUCGGGUGAAGGAACUAGGCAAAAUGGUGCCGUAACUUCGGGAGAAGGCACGCUGACACGUAGGUGAAGUGAUUUACUCAUGGAGCUGAAGUCAGUCGAAGAUACCAGCUGGCUGCAACUGUUUAUUAAAAACACAGCACUGUGCAAACACGAAAGUGGACGUAUACGGUGUGACGCCUGCCCGGUGCCGGAAGGUUAAUUGAUGGGGUCAGCGCAAGCGAAGCUCCUGAUCGAAGCCCCGGUAAACGGCGGCCGUAACUAUAACGGUCCUAAGGUAGCGAAAUUCCUUGUCGGGUAAGUUCCGACCUGCACGAAUGGCGUAAUGAUGGCCAGGCUGUCUCCACCCGAGACUCAGUGAAAUUGAACUCGCUGUGAAGAUGCAGUGUACCCGCGGCAAGACGGAAAGACCCCGUGAACCUUUACUAUAGCUUGACACUGAACAUUGAGCCUUGAUGUGUAGGAUAGGUGGGAGGCUUUGAAGUGUGGACGCCAGUCUGCAUGGAGCCGACCUUGAAAUACCACCCUUUAAUGUUUGAUGUUCUAACGUGGACCCGUGAUCCGGGUUGCGGACAGUGUCUGGUGGGUAGUUUGACUGGGGCGGUCUCCUCCUAAAGAGUAACGGAGGAGCACGAAGGUUGGCUAAUCCUGGUCGGACAUCAGGAGGUUAGUGCAAUGGCAUAAGCCAGCUUGACUGCGAGCGUGACGGCGCGAGCAGGUGCGAAAGCAGGUCAUAGUGAUCCGGUGGUUCUGAAUGGAAGGGCCAUCGCUCAACGGAUAAAAGGUACUCCGGGGAUAACAGGCUGAUACCGCCCAAGAGUUCAUAUCGACGGCGGUGUUUGGCACCUCGAUGUCGGCUCAUCACAUCCUGGGGCUGAAGUAGGUCCCAAGGGUAUGGCUGUUCGCCAUUUAAAGUGGUACGCGAGCUGGGUUUAGAACGUCGUGAGACAGUUCGGUCCCUAUCUGCCGUGGGCGCUGGAGAACUGAGGGGGGCUGCUCCUAGUACGAGAGGACCGGAGUGGACGCAUCACUGGUGUUCGGGUUGUCAUGCCAAUGGCACUGCCCGGUAGCUAAAUGCGGAAGAGA
rnacentral:rRNA from 1 species